rnacentral:rRNA from 1 species
AACGAACGCUGGCGGCAUGCCUAACACAUGCCAGUCGAACGAGACCUUCGGGUCUAGUGGCGCACGGGUGGGUGACGCGUGGGAAGUUGCCCUUAGGUUCGGUAUACCUCAGAGUAAUUUGAGCUAAUACCGGUUGAUGUCUUCGGGCCAAAGAUUUAUCGCUUUUAGAUGGGCCCGCGUUGGAUUAGCUAGUUGGUGGGGUAAAGGCCUACCAAGGCGACGAUCCAUAGCUGGUCUGAGAGGAGGGUUAGCCACACUGGGACUGAAGCACGGCCCAGACUCCUACGGGAGGCAGCAGUGGGGAAUAUUGGACAAGGGGCGAAAGCCUGGUCCAGCAAUGCCGCGUGAGUGAUGAAGGCCUUAGGGUUGUAAAGCUCUUUUACCCGAGAUGAUAAUGACAGUAUCGGGUGAAUAAGCUCCGGCUAACUCCGUG